rnacentral:lncRNA from 1 species
CUGCGCGCCGCAGCAGCGACUCGUCCAAGAAAUGGUACCCCGGACCUACGCGGAGAGAAGGCGAAAGCCGCCGUGAAGACCGUUCGGGCCGGCGUGGCGGCGUGCCCCCGUCCCGUGCCCAGUGUAACGCCGGCCGGGGUACUGAUCAUGAGCUAGGAAGUACAGUGUGCGACGGUGAUGGUAGUAACUGAUUGAAGAAGGCGACGAUUUUUUGGGAUUGUUUUCUCCUGUAACUAUUCUGCUCGUCUGCGCAACUCCUUGCCGAGGGCAUACGAGUAAAUUAAUUAAUAAUAAAAAAUGGUUGAU